AUUUAAAUAGUUUAAUUUAAAAUUUUGAUUUGUGAUAUCAAAGAUGUCUUGUUUGACUUUAAAUA
rnacentral:tRNA from 1 species